UGAGUCCUACGGGACGCAGCAGUGAGGAAUAUUGGUCAAUGGGCGGAAGCCUGAACCAGCCAAGUCGCGUGAGGGAAUAAGGCCCUACGGGUCGUAAACCUCUUUUGCCGGGGAGCAAGUGCGGGGACGUGUCCCGGCCCGGAGAGUACCCGGAGAAAAAGCAUCGGCUAAAUCCGUGCCAGCAGCCGCGGUAAUACGGAGGAUGCGAGCGUUAUCCGGAUUUAUUGGGUUUAAAGGGUGCGUAGGCGGGCGUUUAAGUCAGCGGUAAGAAUGCG
rnacentral:rRNA from 1 species